rnacentral:rRNA from 1 species
UAGGGAAUCUUCCGCAAUGGGCGAAAGCCUGACGGAGCAACGCCGCGUGAGUGAUGAAGGUCUUCGGAUCGUAAAACUCUGUUAUUAGGGAAGAACAUAUGUGUAAGUAACUGUGCACAUCUUGACGGUACCUAAUCAGAAAGCCACGGCUAACUACGUGCCAGCAGCCGCGGUAAUACGUAGGUGGCAAGCGUUAUCCGGAAUUAUUGGGCGUAAAGCGCGCGUAGGCGGUUUUUUAAGUCUGAUGUGAAAGCCCACGGCUCAACCGUGGAGGGUCAUUGGAAACUGGAAAACUUGAGUGCAGAAGAGGACAGUGGNCUUCCAUGUGUAGCGGUGAAAUGCGCAGAGAUAUGGAGGAACACCAGUGGCGAAGGCGACUUUCUGGUCUGUAACUGACGCUGAUGUGCGAAAGCGUGGGGAUCAAACAGGAUUAGAUACCCAGGUAGUCCACGCCGUAAACGAUGAGUGCUAAGUGUUAGGGGGUUUCCGCCCCUUAGUGCUGCAGCUAACGCAUUAAGCACUCCGCCUGGGGAGUACGACCGCAAGGUUG